rnacentral:hammerhead_ribozyme from 1 species
GUACUGCUGAAGAGUCCCAAAAUAUAACGAAACAGCUGUCCAGUAC